rnacentral:rRNA from 1 species
ACGGGUGAGUAACACGUGGGAACGUACCCUUUGGUUCGGAAUAACGCUGGGAAACUAGCGCUAAUACCGGAUACGCCCUUUUGGGGAAAGGCUUGCUGCCGAAGGAUCGGCCCGCGUCUGAUUAGCUAGUUGGUGGGGUAAUGGCCUACCAAGGCGACGAUCAGUAGCUGGUCUGAGAGGAUGAUCAGCCACACUGGGACUGAGACACGGCCCAGACUCCUACGGGAGGCAGCAGUGGGGAGUAUUGGACAAUGGGCGCAAGCCUGAUCCAGCCAUGCCGCGUGAGUGAUGAAGGCCUUAGGGUUGUAAAGCUCUUUUGUCCGGGACGAUAAUGACGGUACCGGAAGAAUAAGCCCCGGCUAACUUCGUGCCAGCAGCCGCGGUAAUACGAAGGGGGCUAGCGUUGCUCGGAAUCACUGGGCGUAAAGGGCGCGUAGGCGGCCAUUCAAGUCGGGGGUGAAAGCCUGUGGCUCAACCACAGAAUUGCCUUCGAUACUGUUUGGCUUGAGUUUGGUAGAGGUUGGUGGAACUGCGAGUGUAGAGGUGAAAUUCGUAGA